CGGAGGCAGAGUGGGGAAUCUUGCACAAUGGGGGAAACCCUGAUGCAGCGACGCCGCGUGCGGGAGGAAGGCCUUCGGGUCGUAAACCGCUUUUCUGGGGGAAGAGGAAGGACGGUACCCCAGGAAUAAGUCCCGGCUAACUACGUGCCAGCAGCCGCGGUAAAACGUAGGGGGCGAGCGUUAUCCGGAAUCACUGGGCGUAAAGGGCGUCUAGGCGGCUAGUCAAGUCCCGCGUGAAAGCUCCUGGCUCAACUAGGAGAGGGCGCGGGAAACUGGCGAGCUAGAGACUCGGAGAGGGGUGUGGAAUUCCCGGUGGAGUGGUGAAAUGCGUUGAGAUCGGGAGGAACACCAGAGGCGAAGGCGGCACCCUGGCCGAGUUCUGACGCUGAAGCGCGAGAGCGUGGGGAGCGAACGGGAUUAGAAACCCUAGUAGUCCA
rnacentral:rRNA from 1 species